AUUGAACGCUGGCGGCAUGCUUUACACAUGCAAGUCGAACGGUAACAGGCCGCAAGGUGCUGACGAGUGGCGAACGGGUGAGUAAUGCAUCGGAACGUGCCCAGUCGUGGGGGAUAACGCAGCGAAAGCUGCGCUAAUACCGCAUACGAUCUCUGGAUGAAAGCGGGGGACCGAAAGGCCUCGCGCGAUUGGAGCGGCCGAUGUCAGAUUAGGUAGUUGGUGGGGUAAAGGCCCACCAAGCCAACGAUCUGUAGCUGGUCUGAGAGGACGACCAGCCACACGGGGACUGAGACACGGCCCAGACUCCUACGGGAGGCAGCAGUGGGGAAUUUUGGACAAUGGGCGCAAGCCUGAUCCAGCAAUGCCGCGUGCAGGAAGAAGGCCUUCGGGUUGUAAACUGCUUUUGUACGGAACGAAACGGUCCGGGUUAAUACCCUGGGCUAAUGACGGUACCGUAAGAAUAAGCACCGGCUAACUACGUGCCAGCAGCCGCGGUAACAC
rnacentral:rRNA from 1 species